rnacentral:tRNA from 1 species
CCCUGGGUGGCUCAGUCGGUUGAGCGUCCGACUUCGGCUCGGGUCACGAUCUCACAGUCUGUGGGUUCGAGCCCCACGUCAGGCU